UUAUACAGGAACAUAACGUUGAGAAAUCGGCGCUAACAUUCCAUAAUAUUAUUUGUAGGCAUCUAAUGAAUAAUUAAAACUCCGGUGGUAUAAGAUGGGCACGCGUUCCAUUAGCUAGUUGGUAAGGUAACGGCUUACCAAGGCAACGAUGGAUAGGGGUUCUGAGAGGACUAAUCCCCCACACUGGAACUGAGACACGGUCCAGACUCCUACGGGAGGCAGCAGUAAGGAAUAUUGGGCAAUGGAGGCAACUCUGACCCAGCCAUGCCGCGUGCAGGAAGACGGCCCUAUGGGUUGUAAACUGCUUUUAAUAGGGAUUAAAGUCGACUACGUGUAGUUGUUUGCAAGUACCUAUAGAAUAAGCAUCGGCUAACUCCGUGCCAGCAGCCGC
rnacentral:rRNA from 1 species